CAGGAGGCAAACCGGGGGAACUGAAACAUCUAAGUACCCCGAGGAAGAGAAAUCAACCGAGAUUCCGAAAGUAGCGGCGAGCGAAAUUGGAUUAGCCCUUAAGCUUUUAAUGAGACAGAUGAAGGCUCUGGAAAGUGCCGCAAUAAAGGGUGAUAGCCCCGUAAUCGACAUCUCAUAAUCAGUGAAAACGAGUAGGGCGGGACACGUGAUAUCCUGUCUGAAUAUGGGGGGACCAUCCUCCAAGGCUAAAUACUACUGACUGACCGAUAGUGAACCAGUACCGUGAGGGAAAGGCGAAAAGAACCCCUGUGAGGGGAGUGAAAUAGAACCUGAAACCGUGUACGUACAAGCAGUAGGAGCACCUUCGUGGUGUGACUGCGUACCUUUUGUAUAAUGGGUCAGCGACUUAAUUUUAGUAGCAAGGUUAACCGUUUAGGGGAGCCGUAGGGAAACCGAGUCUUAACUGGGCGUACAGUUGCUAGGAUUAGACCCGAAACCAGGUGAUCUAGCCAUGGGCAGGUUGAAGGUUGAGUAACAUCAACUGGAGGACCGAACCGACUAAUGUUGAAAAAUUAGCGGAUGACUUGUGGCUAGGGGUGAAAGGCCAAUCAAACCUGGAGAUAGCUGGUUCUCCCCGAAAGCUAUUUAGGUAGCGCCUCGGACGAAUACUACUGGGGGUAGAGCACUGUUAAGGCUAGGGGGUCAUCCCGACUUACCAACCCUUUGCAAACUCCGAAUACCAGUAAGUACUAUCCGGGAGACACACGGCGGGUGCUAACGUCCGUCGUGGAGAGGGAAACAACCCAGACCGCCAGCUAAGGUCCCAAAGUAUAGCUAAGUGGGAAACGAUGUGGGAAGGCUCAGACAGCCAGGAUGUUGGCUUAGAAGCAGCCAUCAUUUAAAGAAAGCGUAAUAGCUCACUGGUCGAGUCGGCCUGCGCGGAAGAUGUAACGGGGCUAAGCUAUACACCGAAGCUGCGGCUACGUACCUUAGGGUAUGUGGGGUAGGGGAGCGUUCUGUAAGCCGUUGAAGGUGGUCUGUAAGGGCUGCUGGAGGUAUCAGAAGUGCGAAUGCUGACAUGAGUAACGAUAAAGGGAGUGAAAAACUCCCUCGCCGGAAGACCAAGGGUUCCUGUCCAACGUUAAUCGGGGCAGGGUAAGUCGACUCCUAAGGCGAGGCCGAAAGGCGUAGUCGAUGGGAAACA
rnacentral:rRNA from 1 species